rnacentral:rRNA from 1 species
UACGUAGGGUGCAAGCGUUGUCCGGAAUUAUUGGGCGUAAAGAGCUCGUAGGCGGUUUGUCGCGUCUGCUGUGAAAUCUUAGGGCUUAACCCUGAGCUUGCAGUGGGUACGGGCAGACUAGAGUGCGGUAGGGGAGACUGGAAUUCCUGGUGUAGCGGUGAAAUGCGCAGAUAUCAGGAGGAACACCGGUGGCGAAGGCGGGUCUCUGGGCCGUAACUGACGCUGAGGAGCGAAAGCAUGGGGAGCGAACAGG